GAUGAAGAACGUAGCGAAAUGCGAUAAGUAAUGUGAAUUGCAGAAUUCAGUGAAUCAUCGAAUCUUUGAACGCACAUUGCGCCCCCUGGUAUUCCGUGGGGCAUGCCUGUUCGAGCGUCAUUUACCCCUCAAGCACUGCUUGGUGUUGGGCGUCUGUCCCGCUUCGCGCGCGGACUCGCCCCAAAGGUAUUGGCAGCGGUCGUGCCAGCUUCUCGCGCAGCACAUUGCGCUUCUCGAGGCGGUCGAUCGGCGUCCACGAAGCUCACCUCCACCGUUUGACCUCGGAUCAGGUAGGGAUACCCGCUGAACUUAAGCAUAUCAAUAAGCGGAGGA
rnacentral:misc_RNA from 1 species